CCCUUAGAUGUUCUGGGCCGCACGCGUGCUACACUGAGUGGAUCAGCGGGUCAGGUUGCGCGAAAGUGUUUCCUAAUCUUUAAAUCCGCUCGUGAUGGGGAUUGACGGUUGCAAUUUUCCGUCAUGAACGAGGAAUACCUUGUAAGCGCGGGUCAUCAUCCCGCGCUGAAUACGUUCCUGCCCUUUGUACACACCGCCCGUCGCUCCUACCGAUUGAGUGGUCCGGUGAGGCUUUGGGAUCUGAGCGGAAAGAGCGUUUCGCUGUUUCUGCCCGGAAAACUCAGUCGAACCUUAUCAUUUAGAGGAAGGAGAAGUCGUAACA
rnacentral:rRNA from 1 species